UGACGCUGUUGCACAUUUCGUAGUUGGGAACAGGAAGUUCCGGGUAGAAAACCACAGGACUGUGUUGUUAUGUCGAUAGUGGUUGUGUCCGUUUCAAAUGUAUUAUUGUAGACCGACUCAGAUUAAGUCUGAGGCCAGUAAUAUCAACAGUGAGGACAAACCCAGCCUGCCACUCUCCUUCCACACUGAGUAGAAACCUACAGUCACUGGGUCCUGAUUGUGACAGUGGAGCCCAGUUUGCCUUGCAGGAUCCAGAGAUGGCAUCAGUGAAUCUGGAAGACUGCAGUCAAAUACUGGAGCUGAAUGUCAACAUUAAAGAUGAAGAAGAGGAGGAGAAGAUUAGGACAAUUGUUAGUCAUGGAGACCAUGUUGAGACAUUCUCAACAUCCAGAGAGCAACAGCAGGAAGAUCAGAGAGCUAAGAGGUCUCAUCACUGCCCACAUUGUGAAGAGAUUUUCCCAUUUCUAUCAAAGCUAAAAACACACC